AGCAGCCGCGGUAAUUCCAGCUCCAAUAGCGUAUAUUAAAGUUGUUGCAGUUAAAAAGCUCGUAGUUGAAUUUCGGGGUUCUUCCGUUGGUCGGGCUAUCCAGUCUGUACUAGCGUGUAGAAUUCCUACCUUCUGGGGGAACCAUCAUGUUAUUAAUUUAGCGUGGUGGGAAACCAGGACCUUUACCUUGAAAAAAUUAGAGUGUUCAAAGCAGGCUUACGUCUGAAUACAUUAGCAUGGAAUAAUAGAAUAGGACGGUGGUCCUGUUUUGUUGGUUUCUGAAUCACCGUAAUGAUUAAUAGGGAUAGUUGGGGGCAUUAGUAUUCAAUUGUCAGAGGUGAAAUUCUUGGAUUUAUUGAAGACUAACUUCUGCGAAAGCAUUUGCCAAGGAUGUUUUCAUUAAUCAAGAACGAAAGUUAGGGGAUCGAAGACGAUCAGAUACCGUCGUAGUCUUAACCAUAAGCUAUGCCGACUAGGGAUCGGACGAUGUUAAAUUUUAUUGACUCGUUCGGCGCCUUAC
rnacentral:rRNA from 1 species